rnacentral:rRNA from 1 species
UACGAAGGGGGCUAGCGUUGCUCGGAAUCACUGGGCGUAAAGCGCACGUAGGCGGAUUGCUAAGUCAGGGGUGAAAUCCUGGGGCUCAACCUCGGAACUGCCUUUGAUACUGCAAAUCUCGAGUCCGAUAGAGGUGGGUGGAAUUCCUAGUGUAGAGGUGAAAUUCGUAGAUAUUAGGAAGAACACCGGUGGCGAAGGCGGCCCACUGGAUCGGUACUGACGCUGAGGUGCGAAAGCGUGGGGAGCAAACAGG